rnacentral:ncRNA from 1 species
UUUCUCUCAGAUGAAGAACGUAAGGAGAGCUAAAGCACGUAAUGAAGCUGUUAUAUUUGGUAAAGCGCAUGAUUAGAGGAAUUGUGAGACGAAAUGCCUUCAACUUAUUCUCGAAGUUUCAAAUAUAAUAUGACGUCUGGUUUACUUGAAUGAAGCGUAGAAAUUGAAUAUGUGCUCCAAAUGAGCCAUUUUUGGUAAGCAGAACUAGCGCCGUGGGAUGAACCA